UGGGGAAUAUUGGACAAUGGGGGGCAACCCUGAUCCAGCAAUGCCGCGUGUGUGAAGAAGGUCUUCGGAUUGUAAAGCACUUUCGACGGGGACGAUGAUGACGGUACCCGUAGAAGAAGCCCCGGCUAACUUCGUGCCAGCAGCCGCGGUAAUACGAAGGGGGCUAGCGUUGCUCGGAAUGACUGGGCGUAAAGGGCGUGUAGGCGGUUUACACAGUCAGAUGUGAAAUCCCCGGGCUUAACCUGGGAGCUGCAUUUGAUACGUGUAGACUAGAGUGUGAGAGAGGGUUUGUGGAAUUCCCAGUGUAGAGGUGAAA
rnacentral:rRNA from 1 species